UGAAAUUGAACUCGCUGUGAAGAUGCAGUGUACCCGCGGCAAGACGGAAAGACCCCGUGAACCUUUACUAUAGCUUGACACUGAACAUUGAGCCUUGAUGUGUAGGAUAGGUGGGAGGCUUAGAAGUGUGGACGCCAGUCUGCAUGGAGCCGACCUUGAAAUACCACCCUUUAAUGUUUGAUGUUCUAACGUUGACCCGUAAUCCGGGUUGCGGACAGUGUCUGGUGGGUAGUUUGACUGGGGCGGUCUCCUCCUAAAGAGUAACGGAGGAGCACGAAGGUUGGCUAAUCCUGGUCGGACAUCAGGAGGUUAGUGCAAUGGCAUAAGCCAGCUUGACUGCGAGCGUGACGGCGCGAGCAGGUGCGAAAGCAGGUCAUAGUGAUCCGGUGGUUCUGAAUGGAAGGGCCAUCGCUCAACGGAUAAAAGGUACUCCGGGGAUAACAGGCUGAUACCGCCCAAGAGUUCAUAUCGACGGCGGUGUUUGGCACCUCGAUGUCGGCUCAUCACAUCCUGGGGCUGAAGUAGGUCCCAAGGGUAUGGCUGUUCGCCAUUUAAAGUGGUACGCGAGCUGGGUUUAGAACGUCGUGAGACAGUUCGGUCCCUAUCUGCCGUGGGCGCUGGAGAACUGAGGGGGGCUGCUCCUAGUACGAGAGGACCGGAGUGGACGCAUCACUGGUGUUCGGGUUGUCAUGCCAAUGGCACUGCCCGGUAGCUAAAUGCGGAAGAGAUAAGUGCUGAAAGCAUCUAAGCACGAAACUUGCCCCGAGAUGAGUUCUCCCUGACUCCUUGAGAGUCCUGAAGGAACGUUGAAGACGACGACGUUGAUAGGCCGGGUGUGUAAGCGCAGCGAUGCGUUGAGCUAACCGGUACUAAUGAACCGUGAGGCUUAACCUUACAACGCCGAAGGUGUUUUG
rnacentral:rRNA from 1 species